rnacentral:lncRNA from 1 species
GAGAGACCUGUACGCCUCGAGGGGGACCUUAGCCUCCUCCGAGGAGCACGACCUGGAAGUCGGAGCCGAAUUCCUCGAGGUAAAUACGGUGAAGUAAUUUGGCCAUAUUCCGGUAAUUUUGAUAAAUUCGAAGCAGAAUGAAUCUAGACCUCAGACUGCCCAGGCCACAUCUCGAAUGACGUCCCCUGCCCUGUUGCAGUCCAACACGGCACUGAGCUCGCAGCAGGAGACCAGGCUCAAACAGAUGGGGGCCACGGUGAGGAACGCGUCCUCCUACGCACAGAAGCUGAAGAUGAACGAGGAGAGGGAGAAGUUGGCGAGGAAGGUUAUGGCGAAAAUGUCCAUCGAGCAGCUGUCCGAGCUUCUUUCGUUCUACCACAU